AAUCGGACUGCUCGACCCGACGCUGAUUAACUAGAAGAUACACUGAGCUUUAACCUGCGUCUCAUCCUGAUUGCAUUGGUUUCACUGUGCUACAGCUUGUCAAUACUGGAUUGGACGCACUGAAUCCAGCUUAAAGAGAGCGAGCAAGUUUAGUGAAGCGAGAAGAGAGCAUCCCUCCACAAAAAAACAAAAAAAAAUCAAAUUCGAUAAGGAACUGUCGCAGUCGAGUGCAACGGAAAAUUUGCCUUUUGUCCCAGCAAAAUAGCCAAAGUGCCGAGUAA